rnacentral:rRNA from 1 species
AACGUAGGACGCAAGCGUUAUCCGGAGUUACUGGGCGUAAAGCGCGGGCAGGCGGUUCUGCCAGUCUGAUGUGAAAUCUCUUCGCUCAACGGGGAGCAGCCAUUGGAAACUACAGAACUGGAGUCUGACAGAGGUAGGCGGAAUUCCGGGUGGAGUGGUGAAAUGCGUAGAGAUCCGGAGGAACACCAGAGGCGAAGGCGGCCUACUGGGUCAGUACUGACGCUGAGCCGCGAAAGCCAGGGGAGCGAACGGG